GAUGAACGCUGGCGGCGUGCCUAAUACAUGCAAGUCGAGCGAACAGACGAGGAGCUUGCUCCUCUGACGUUAGCGGCGGACGGGUGAGUAACACGUGGAUAACCUACCUAUAAGACUAGGAUAACUUCGGGAAACCGGAGCUAAUACCGGAUAAUAUAUUGAACCGCAUGGUUCAAUAGUGAAAGACGGUUUUGCUGUCACUUAUAGAUGGGUCCGCGCCGCAUUAGCUAGUUGGUAAGGUAACGGCUUACCAAGGCAACGAUGCGUAGCCGACCUGAGAGGGUGAUCGGCCACACUGGAACUGAGACACGGUCCAGACUCCUACGGGAGGCAGCAGUAGGGAAUCUUCCGCAAUGGGCGAAAGCUUGACGGAGCAACGCCGCGUGAGUGAUGAAGGUCUUCGGAUCGUAAAACUCUGUUAUUAGGGAAGAACAAAUGUGUAAGUAACUAUGCACGUCUUGACGGUACCUAAUCAGAAAGCCACGGCUAACUACGUG
rnacentral:rRNA from 1 species